rnacentral:rRNA from 1 species
GACGAACGCUGGCGGCGUGCUUAACACAUGCAAGUCGAACGGGCCUGUCUUCUUUUUUGGGGGUGGGUUGAGUGGCGAACGGGUGAGUAUCACGUGAGUAACCUGCCCUUCGGUCCUGGAUAACCGCUUGAAAGGGCGGCUAAUACGGGGUGGUCCGGUUGGUCCGCAUGGGCUGGUCGGGAUAGAUUCACUGUUUUUGGUGUUUCGGCGGGGGAUGGGCUCGCGGCCUAUCAGCUUGUUGGUGGGGUGAUGGCCUACCAAGGCGGUGACGGGUAGCCGGGCUGAGGGGGUGGGCGGCCACACUGGGACUGAGAUACGGCCCAGACUCCUGCGGGAGGCAGCAGUGGGGGGUAUUGCACAGUGGGCGGAAGCCUGAUGUAGCGACGUCGCGUGAGGGAUGGAGGCCUUCGGGUUGUGAACCUCUGUUUCCGGUGGUGAAGGCCCUGUCCGUGUGGUGGGGUUGACGGUAGCCGGGGAUGAAGCGCCGGCUAACUACGUG